UUGGCUCAGUUGGUUAGAGCGCUGCCUUCACACGGCAGAGGUCACUGGUUCGAAUCCGGUA
rnacentral:tRNA from 1 species